AACCUGCCCUUUGCACUGGGAUAGCCUCGGGAAACCGAGGUUAAUACCGGAUACUCCAUAUCCAUCGCAUGAUAGAUAUGGGAAAAGCUCCGGCGGCAAAGGAUGGGGCCCGCGGCCUGUUAGCUAGUUGGUGGGGUAGUGGCCUACCCAAGGCAAUGAUGGGUAGCCGGGUUGAGAGACCGACCGGCCAGAUUGGGACUGAGACACGGCCCAGACUCCUACGGGAGGCAGCAGUGGGGAAUCUUGCACAAUGGGCGAAAGCCUGAUGCAGCGACGCCGCGUGCGGGAUGAAGGCCUUCGGGUUGUAAACCGCUUUCAGCAGGGACGAGGCCGCAAGGUGACGGUACCUGCAGAAGAAGCCCCGGCUAACUACGUGCCAGCAGCCGCGGUAAU
rnacentral:rRNA from 1 species